GGCCGCUCGGCCCGGCCGCCAGGCUCUGGGACACCUUCUGCACGAGGAAAUAGAUGGCGACGGCGGCCAAGAGGAUGUACCAGCCAUAGCUGGAGAGCAGGGAGCCCACUGUGACGGGGACAAGCUGGAGGAAUAAUACGAAUUAAAAACCUCUCCAGAAAAAAAAAAAAAAAAGAAAA